CAGAUACCGGUAGCUUCAGUGGCAGAGCUGUACUUUUGGCUCUAUUGUUGUCCCUAUAUUAUAUAUUAAGAUAGUCUGUUCCAUUUGGGAACCCGCAUCACUUUUGUAAACAGGAAAUAGUUGAGCGAAUUGUCCUCUGAUCCUUAGGCGAAGUUACUGAAGUUUAUUUGAGAGAUUUACUCUAUAGUUUUGAGAUAGGAGUCUUGGCACGCUCAAUACUGUAUUUUAUUUUUUAAAAAGAGUUGGAUCGGAGUGUCAAGCUGUAGACUGCAUUCUCCUGCAAAAACGCCAUACGCUGCGAUCUAAUCAAAUUCCUCCAGUCCCAUAAAUCAGGUGAUGUCCUUGCUUGCUGUGGCAAUGGCCAGCCCUACCGAUUAGUUGGCUUUGCGCUGUAGGUGCGUUUCAUCCGUGCGGGAUAGUGAAAUGCUUCGGUCUGAGAUGAAGAUUCGACCCUCGGCUCUCUCACUACGCGCCGUGACCCUGGCGCUCCAUGUCGUAGCGUGAUACGCGAUAUGGGUGUCAGAAACACUGGAAGGAAUGGAUUUCGGUCCGAUUUUAGACUGUGUGAAAUAGCAAUUGGAUAAUUCAAUGUUCCUUCAAAGAUGACAAAAAAAUCUUAUAAAAUCUCUCAAAAUCGCCUUUCUGGGAUUAAGCCUAGUUGCAACGUUAAUACGUUCAGUUGUGAUGAUAUGCGAUUUACAAAGAUAACGGCUUGUCAACAAAAUUCACGAAUGCAGAACGUCUAGUGAUGCACUACUUUAUUGGAACCAGAGGUGGCGCCACGGCCCUAAAAACUAGACAGAAUCUCUGCACGGUGAGCGAGGAAGGCUGGUGUGUGACGGUGUCAACCACUGACCCAUCAAGAAUCACAACACGAGGAACUCACCUCCCCCAAGAUAUGCUUCAUUCGUUUGCUGGACUGGUUUUUAAAACAGAAAAAAACGUGAGCACGCUUCUUUUUUUUCGGUGCACGGUCUUUUCCUUUUUAUGGUUGAGCGAGAGCAUCUCUGAAAAACCUAAACUGAGGAAAAAGUUGCACGAAAAGACCCUCUUUUUCUUUUUAUCUCCACGGAAAAUAUGUCGUUUGACUUUUAUCGAGUGCUAUGCGGUGGGGAUAACUUUAAAAAAAGAUUUUUUUCAGCAUGAGAAGAAAGUUGAAAUGAUCUGCAGUGAAACGUACCUUCGUCGUCCAGCAUGCAAUAAACUGAAUCCAGCUGCGGAGAACUGCUCUGGAUUUAGUCGAGAAAUUAUAAUUAGAUUUCAAAUCACCGAAAUACAGUGUUCCGAAAUGCUUUGCAUUGCAUUUGUUGUUAUAGUUCGUUAAAAGGUUCACAUGAGCAAUUUAUUGGACUGAUAAAACACUAACACGUUUCUGACAAACCAACAUAAUGUAUUUUUAUUACUUGAACCGUUUAAAACUAAUACAUAUCAGCAUUUAAAUAUAUUUGCAUUUCAGAAUGUGCAACAGAAUUUAUGAAAAUAACGCGUUAAAACUGAGAUGGAUACAAUGCUUAUGUUCACGGAUUUCAUAUAAAACAAUUACGUUUCUUACAUAUUCUGUAUUAGAAGUCAGUCCUAUGUUAUAUAUACGUGUCGCUGGAUACAACUGUAGUAUGCUUGAGCAAUCUUGCAAGAAUUCGAAUUAAUCCUUUACUUUCCAAUUAAGAUAGAAUAAUCAUAGUUGAUGCUUUAAGGUGGGGGGGGGACACGUUUUUGCUUUUCCGUGUUACCAAAUAGUUUACUUUUAAGGGGGUUACUUUAAAAAAAAACUUAGAUAACAUGGACUAAAGAUCAUAAGGAUGCUUAUCUGAAAAUAA